rnacentral:tRNA from 3 species
CAUUAAGUGACUGAAAGUAAGUAAUGGUCUCUUAAACCAAUUUAUAGUAACUAACGAUUACUUUUAAUGA